rnacentral:lncRNA from 1 species
UUGACCCAAGCCCAAACACACUUGCCCGACCCGUUUCCCUUCAUAUUAAAUAGAUCCCUAAGACCUAAAUCAAGGAGGCAGGGAUAUAUCAAAAACGGCGCAAAAGUCCCCUCCCCUGUUCCUUCUUCUUCGUUCCUCAUCUCCAACAGAGAUGUAAAAAAAACUUUCACCAUUUUUACCUAAGAGCUAGAGAACAUCAGAUAUUUGGACAUCGCUCACACCUGAGAAAUCUAAAAAAAAACGGCGGAUCUCUCCAAAUGAAAGACUCUAUCGGCGCCCUUGGACCUUCUUCCUCAUCCCUCAUUUCAGCAACGAAAACAGACCCCUUUCCCCUUUAGAUUAGAGAAACGAGCUUCUCUGCUCAUAACCAAUAAAUCGGACCCUUUCAUUGAUGAACCCAGUGCCUUUCCCCCAUACAAACACACGGACUUUCAGUCACUCCCACCUCAUUCUCGCGAAAGAGCAGUAAAAGCGAAAGGGAAUUCCGCAAUUGGUCAAGUUUAUUUGCUGCUGGCUUCCAUUUUUGAUUUCUGGGUAUUACUUUGGUGUAAAAAUGAUGUGUUUGUUGCUGUGAUCCUCUGCUGAGCUCAAAUAUGCCCGUUUGGUCUUUAUUUGGUUUCUUCUGCUUCUAGACUCAACUUUUACAGGUACUUCUCCGAAGUUUAAAUGUAAAACACACUUAUGUUGAAGAAGAGUUUGGAUUAUGCCAAUUUGAUGCGAAAUUUCAGUAGAGUUUAUCUUUGGGUUGUUUGCUAUGAACAGAUUUGUGAAUGAACAAAUGAAAUACGGCAUACGAGGAAAUAUGAGUUCUGUUUGAUUUUGUACUUAUGAUUAUAUUCUCUUUUUAUUUUGGAUUCCUUAUUCCAUUGCUGCUGCAUUUUUGGAAGUUUGGAACGAAAUUGGACUGAUUAAAAGUGGUCAAUGGCUCUUGAUUGUUAAUUUGGAAUGAAUAGUUUAUCUGAAAAGUCCUGCUAAUCUUUUGAUUAAUUUAUUGAUCCUUAGUUGAGGAAUCUGUAAAGGAAAGUUGGAUUUUCCCAUUUCCGGGUAUUGCUUUUCUCUGUUUUUUUUUCGUGAAUUAUUACAGUUUCUUGCUAAUUUUUCUUAUGGUACUAUGUACUUGUACGAAAGUGUUUUUUUUAUUUGGUAGGACUUGUUGUUUGGGCAUUUAUUGGGGGUAUUUAUUUCAACUUUUUGUCAUCCCUCAAGUAUGUUUUGUUGGCUUUGCUAUGAAAUUGACGAGCAAUAGACAUUUCUUAACUUUUCUGUUGAAGAAGUUUCAAGUAGGUCAAAUGAUGGCCAAACAUGGUGGGAUUUAAUUUAUUUAACUGGAAUUUCACUUGAGAAAUAAAAAAGGGCUUCUCAACUUGGAUGUUAGUAAUACAAUUUCAAGCCUACGUAGAACUUGUGGGUUACGUAAAGUUGUUUGUAAAGUUGUUUGGAGAUUUGUACAGAGCUUUUCACCUUCUGUCCCGUUCCUAUUUUGUGGUUUUAACUUCCUCUAUCUUGGUUGAAAUGCAAAGUCAAGAGUUUGGAUGUCAUCCAGUUAUUUUUCUUUCCAUCUUCUUUGUUGGAAAUUCAAAACACCUUUAUACCUAUAAAAGUGCAGUACGUUAAUAAGCUUUAUUGCAUCAUUGGUUCAAGCAAGCUUUAAAUUAAGCUUAAUCUUUUGCGCAUUUAUCCACAAGUCAUCUCUAUAAAUUUUUUGAGUUUGUCACAUGAUCUCAAAUUAGGUUUAGGAGAAUAAUCAUGAACAUCCGUAGUUUGCUUUAGUUGAGUACAACCUUUUGAAAUAAAUUGAGGCGUGUCAUGCCAAAUAAAAUCUCAAAGCUCAUGGCCCUUAUUUAAUUAAUUUUAAUCUUUAGAAAUCGAGGCGUGCCAUUAGUGAAUUUUCCAUGGCCCUCGCAAACUUUAAAGUGCGUAGUUGCUUUAGGCGCGUAAUUUAAAAUUAUCUUCUUAAACUCGAGUGUGCAUUUCAUGUGACCCAAAUCCAAAUCUCAAUAACGUUAAAUAAAAUAUGUCGCAGACCGCGAGUGUAUUUCAUGUGGCGUGGUUCAAAGACGUGUUUUAGAUAACGUUGUUCUUCCUAAAAUUAAUUAAAAAGCGGUUAAUAAUUUAAAGUCAUACCAUAGGCUAAAACAUGUAUUAAAGUCAGAUAAUAGGCUAAUUAUGAUAGUUGAAGCGACCAUUUUAGAACCACGAAAUCCGGGGGUGCCUAACACCUUCCCUCAGGUUAACAGAAUUCCUUAUUCAGAAUUUCUGGUUCGCAGACUUCAAAAGGAAAGUCGAAUUUUCUUCGAUUUGGGAUUUUAAAAUAAACUGGUGACUUGGGACACCAUAAAUUAUUCCAAGUGGCGACUCUGAAAAAUAAAUAAAUAAUCUCAUUUCGAUUUAUGUCACUUUAAUUGGAAAAAUUCCCUUAUAUCACCUCUCAGGUGGUAAAAAGGAGGUGUGACAACGUUAUGUGAUUAGCGGCUUGCCUAGUAAGUGUAUUAGGUGCCAUCAUGACAGGUUGAGAUUUUGGGUCGUGAUAGGUUCACACACGGGGAAAGUUCUAGACUAACUGUAACGACCCAAACCGACGGGCCGCGAUGGGCACCAGGUACCUUACUCAACCAAGUACCUACGUAGCGUAUCUUUCGUAUCAUACUAUCAUAGGCAAAUAAGCCUGAGAGGCUGUCGUGAGAUAAAUACAAUAGAACAUGGAGAAAUACUCGACAUUGAACGAUCCAACAUGUAAUCCAAACUUAUACAUAUGACGUACGGGCCUAUAAGGCAAAAAUAACCAUGCGUAUACUGAACAUAGGCUGACAAGGCCAUACAAUCUUUUAUGUACAUGACAUCUAUCUACAAGUCUCUAAGAAUACAUAAUUUUCACAAAGGUCGGGACAGAGUCCCGCUAUACAAAACAAUACACGUUUAAAUCAUACAAACCAAACAAGCAACUCCGAAGCAAAUGAAGCGCACCAACAUCUUCCACUGAGCUGAUUGCCUACUUGGAGGGCUCUCGACCUGUCUAUCGGAACUUGCGGGGAUGAAACGUAGCAUCCCCAGGCAAAAGGGACGUCAGUACAAAUAAUAUACCAAGUAUGUAAGGCAUAUAAAUAAGUACAUAACAUACAUGGAAGAAAUAUAGAGUAAAUGACUCAACCUGUAUGUCUGGAUAAUUUUGUAAAUCAUGAAAUAAUUAUAGUAUCAUGCAUAUGCGUAUGAAUAUCAUGUCGUNNNNNNNNNNNNNNNNNNNNNNNNNAUGUAUACCAACUGAUCAGGUGGUGGUGCGUAUAUAAUGCCAUAACCUUUCCCAUAUCCCAUAUCCCAUAUAUAUAUAUAUAUAUAUAUGUGAAUAUAUACACAUAUAUGUACUCGUAUAUAACGUCAUCUGGUCAUGGGUCAAUGUGCAUGUAUAAAUGCAUGAAAUACAUAUGAAAUAUGUUAAUAAAAUCUCUCAGUACGUCAUAAGACCAUUAUGCUUCUAAUUAAUAUCAUGAAAUAAACUUUACCAGCUUACGUAUUUUUUUGAGACCCAUGAACAGAUGAUAAAAUAAUAGGACACAUGGGAAUUCAAGAAUAUAGGCACCUCUAAUACUUUUAUGGAUAAAGUUAUUUAUGGAAGUUUUGCAUUUUCUCGUUUCGUUUGUAUCGUACGGAUCAUGCCAAAAAGAAAGAAGGGAUGAACUUAACAUACCUGAGUCAAUUCUCUUGAGAAAGAUUACCCCGUACUUCCUUAAAGUUGCAAAAUCUCACGUUAAUUUAAAUUGUUGAAGGUCCUGAGGCGUUGCUCACAUGAAUUUCGAUUGUAACAUAUAACAUUUACGUUGAAUCCUCAUUAGAUGCCUUUGGAAAGAGAUGUGAUUCACGUUUCUUAUCCAACCGUAUCUCUUAAGUUAGAGAUAUGUUUUGUCCAUGAUUUUAUGGAAGUUAGAGAUAUGUUUUGUCCAUCUACCACAUAAUCCAAAUGAUUUAGAUCUUGCCACCUUACUCUACCAUAAGUUAAGAGUCAUAAGGUUGGUGGAUGCCACAUAACUCCCUUGUUGGGGGUUAAAUUUUUAUCUAGUAAUCUUUAAUUAAUUAGGUAAAAUUACAUUAUCUAAUAAUUAACUAAUUACCCACAUAAUUAAGAAUUAUCUCAACUUACUUAAAAUACUACUCAAUUUUAAUAUACUUUAUACACCUUACUAUCAUGGCCAUGUGGUACCAUGUAUGGUACUAGUCUAUAAGUACCGGGUAUUUUAGCUCAGACCGUAUUUUAUCCCAAAAUGUCAUACUUUGACGAAAUUCAUUUUCUUUGAUUUGCUUACUCUUUCACCUUCAUGAAUCUACGUAUUACUUGUUUGAAAAAGAAUAAUACUUAUAAUUCCUAAAUAAUCUCAUUCCCGAGCUUACGUCGAUUAACUUACGACGAAACAUCAACGUACAAAAAUGCAGGACAUAACAUAUCACUUCCGAACUCUCAUUAAUUAUUUUAUUUAUGGUGUAUUUUCAUGCACGAAAAAUAUGGGGUCUAACAUCAUUCCCCCCCUUUGGAACAUUUGUCCUCGGAAUGGUUGGACUGAUGCCGCCUAUCCAUUCUCAUAUCCCAUAGCUCUUGCGAAUACUUUAGUACUCCACUUUCCAUCUAGGCAACUAUUCUGUGAAUAAGUCUAAAGGCUAGGGCAUUGCCCCCUUUAGUCCUCUUUCUCAUACCACGACUUGUGGUCAAAAUCUUUCCAAUCUCGUAACUGUUGCUACCUUCUAUUAUGCAGCCUGUAUGACUCUGACCUUGUAAGUGCGCCUAUGCAACUCUUCUUUCCUCACUUUUUUUGCUCUAGCUCCUAGCCAAUCUCUAGACCUAACAAGUGAGGCUUGCUCAGUUGAUAAAAGCACCUCCACCUACGACCGUUAGGUCCUGGGUUCGAGUCACCAUGGAAGAGAAGUGUGAAAAUACUGUAGAUCCUCCUAAUUUGGGAGGGGUUUAAAAAAAAUCUCUAGACCUCACUUUGCAAAUACAUAGAGAGCUUGAUAAAAUUCCCUUUGGGCAUUUGUAGGUAUACUAAAGUUCUUUGCUCGGUACUUUGUUGAAAUUAUGAAUAUUGCUACAUCUUGUUCAUGGACCUGGUUAUCCAUUUAUAUGACUUUACUGCAUCUACGUAGGUCAUAUUAUACCAUAACUCUUACGUCGAUUUCUCGUUACUGAGGUCUGCUACCAAAUUCCAGGUUACUUUCAUUGCUUAUCCUAUAUAUAUAAAUCUAUGUCCUCUAAUGCUUCCACAUUACUGUUCAUCUUAAGAAUGACGGCCUAAUCUCCUCUCAAAUUUUAUAACUUUUAUCCAUCUAUUAUUAAUUCACCUCAAUUUUGAUCCAUAAUCCGCCCCUGAUAACUUAACCUUUUAUGUAAUACUGCCGCUAGGAUUCACGUUUUAUUGGGGAACAUCUGAAAUGAUUAGAUUGAUCCACCUGGGGCGAUACCAUGCUUUCAUAACCGUAUCUCACAUCAUCCCAAUGUGAUUCACCUUGCGUGGGUAUUUUAAUCAUGUCCAAUUCAUGAGAUCCCUUUCUUUUUCUUCGUCAGAUCAUUACUCAAUCGAAGGCCCAAAUGCCAUCCUUUGUCUAUGACAAUUACAACCUCAUUCUAUUAACAGGGCAUCAUUCUAUCUCUUCUAAAUGUUAUUAGUCUUAGACUCCUUUGAGUUCAUUCAGGGUAUAGUGAGCUUUGUAUGAUUUAGAGAAAUCAUAUGCUCUUCUUGUUUUCAUGGCCUUAAUCCUGAGGACUUAUCCAUUUUGUUACUUCCUCACUCGCCUAUUCUUAUCCUUACUCCUGUCUUUUAGUACCUUGUCGCUUCACCAUACAAUAGUUUGCGACCUACACCUCUAUUUAUAUUACUUGAAACCUUUCAACUUGCUUGCAUCAUAGAUUUUCUUAUGUCAUUUUGGAACGUCAAACGAGGCAUCACAUCGUCUCUAACUCUUUUUUAUUCUUUUAGUAAGACUUUUUGAUACCUAGGCCAUAGGCUGGAAGAUAUGGUACUGACGAUGUCGCUAUUAUUCCUAGAUAUUGAAUCCUCGUGCUUUUAGUCUUUUAUCUGAGGAAUGGACUAUUAAUGAUCUUCUUCCUUUGAGUAUCGCGUACGUUGAUUACAUUUGCCUUAAAAUCUCGCAUCAUAUCUUCUAUCUCUUUCAUGACCUCUCUUUUACAU